UACGUAGGGUCCAAGCGUUAUCCGGAAUCACUGGGCGUAAAGCGUGCGUAGGCGGUUUGUUAAGUGAGAUGUUAAAGCGUGUGGCUCAACCAUAUCGUUGUGUCUCAUACUGGCAGACUAGAGGAAGGCAGAGGCAAGUGGAAUUGGCAGUGUAGCAGUGAAAUGCGUAGAGAUUGCCAGGAACACCAAUGGCGAAGGCAGCUUGCUGGGCCUUUUCUGACGCUGAGGUACGAAAGCGUGGGGAGCGAACAGG
rnacentral:rRNA from 1 species